AACGCUAGCUACAGGCUUAACACAUGCAAGUCGAGGGGAAACGACAGUAAAGCUUGCUUUAUUGGGCGUCGACCGGCGCACGGGUGCGUAACGCGUAUCCAACCUGCCCCCAACUCCGGAAUAGUCCCCCGAAAGGGGGUUAACGCCGGAUGCUGCAAUUUUUCCGCAUGGUGAAAUUGCGAAAUGAAAAAGGUUGGGGCUGGGGAUGCGUCCCAUUAGGUAGUAGGCGGGGUAACGGCCCACCUAGCCGACGAUGGGUAGGGGUUCUGAGAGGAAGGUCCCCCACAUUGGAACUGAGACACGGUCCAAACUCC
rnacentral:rRNA from 1 species